UACGUAGGGGGCAAGCGUUGUCCGGAAUUAUUGGGCGUAAAGCGCGCGCAGGCGGCCUUGUAAGUCUGUCGUUUAAACUCGGAGCUCAACUUCGAGUCGCGAUGGAAACUGCAAAGCUUGAGUGCAGAAGAGGAAAGUGGAAUUCCACGUGUAGCGGUGAAAUGCGUAGAGAUGUGGAGGAACACCAGUGGCGAAGGCGACUUUCUGGUCUGUAACUGACACUGAGGCGCGAAAGCGUGGGGAGCAAACAGG
rnacentral:rRNA from 1 species